CAGCAGCCACGGGAAUACGUAGGGUGCGAGCGUUAAUCGGAAUUACUGGGCGUAAAGCGUGCGCAGGCGGUUCGUUAAGACAGAUGUGAAAUCCCCGGGCUCAACCUGGGAACUGCAUUUGUGACUGGCAAGCUAGAGUAUGGCAGAGGGGGGUGGAAUUCCGCGUGUAGUAGUGAAAUGCGUAGAUAUGCGGAGGAACACCGAUGGCGAAGGCAGCCCCCCGGGCCAAUACUGACGCUCAUGCACGAAAGCGUGGGGAGCAAACAGGAUUAGAUACCCCUGUAGUCCCUGUCUCUUAUAC
rnacentral:rRNA from 1 species